CCAAACUCUCGCGAACAGCCGCUUUCAUUACACAUUCUUCUCUCAGAGCCUCAAACCCGUAGUAGUUUUAAGUUAGGGGACGUGCCAGCGGGAUUUUGUGUUUUCUCGGAAGUCGUUGAGAAAGUGAGUGCUAAUUCUUGUGGGCGUUUUCGCCAGCCCGAAGUGUGAAAUUUAUCUCGACCAAUACAUCCAUAGGGCGGAGGAAUCUAUAGCACUGGGGGCUGACCGCGUGACGCAGCUGGUUGCUAGGUGUGGGUGACCUGAUGCAUUGACUCAAUUAGACGAUUCUCAGUCAUCAACUCCAUCACAACAAAGCAAGACCAACAGCACUUCAGUCCUAGACACUCCGAAGGAGACAUGGCUUUUUAAUUUAGUAGAGACUUCGAUCCUAAAGAAACGCCGUGCUUUGCUCUUGCAACGCACCCCAAGCUCAAAACAUUUAAGCAAGAAUGGAGUUUCAUAAUGCGCACCAAGCCCUGUUUUCUGUGGCUCAACUCUCAAACUUCACUAUCGUGCACUGUAAGCUCGGACGUUUGAAUCGUAGGACCAACGGACAGGAUGAUGACAAUGUCAGCACCCAUUUGGAAGACUCUACUCGUCUGCCCGGCAGACCCCCUCACUCUCUCUCACCCACAGGCUAACCACAGCCAAUCGGAGGGGCGCGGAGGGGAGGGGCCAGAGGAGAACCAGCACUUAAUUGGUAAUGGUCUUAGUGACUGGAUGACGGAAGAAGUAGAUUUCUCCUCUUACCUCCCAACCUCUCACUCCUCUCCCUCCCCCAAUGCAUCCCUUCCCCCC